UACGUAGGGCGCAAGCGUUGUCCGGAAUUAUUGGGCGUAAAGAGCUCGUAGGCGGCUUGUCACGUCGGGUGUGAAAGCCCGGGGCUUAACCCCGGGUCUGCAUUCGAUACGGGCAGGCUAGAGUGUGGUAGGGGAGAUCGGAAUUCCUGGUGUAGCGGUGAAGUGCGCAGAUAUCAGGAGGAACACCGGUGGCGAAGGCGGAUCUCUGGGCCAUUACCGACGCUGAGGAGCGAAAGCGUGGGGAGCGAACAGG
rnacentral:rRNA from 1 species